CCUGGCGGCACUAGCGCGGUGGUCCCACCUGACCCCAUGCCGAACUCAGAAGUGAAACGCCGUAGUGCCGAUGGUAGUGUGGGGUCUCCCCAUGCGAGAGUAGGGAACUGCCAGGC
rnacentral:rRNA from 7 species